rnacentral:rRNA from 1 species
GCACAAGCAGCGGAGCGUGUGGUUUAAUUCGAUGAUACACGAAGAACCUUACCAGGGUUUGACAUGCUAGUGGUAGGGAACUGAAAGGGACCGACCUUCGGGAGCUUAUACAGGUGUUGCAUGGCUGUCGUCAGCUCGUGUCGUGAGAUGUUCGGUUAAGUCCGCUAACGAGCGCAACCCUCGCCGUAUGUUACAAGUGUCAUACGGGACUGCCGGUAAAAGCCGGAGGAAGGUGAGGAUGAUGUCAAGUCAGCAUGACCUUUAUAUCCAGGGCUACACACACGCUACAAUGGUCUGUACAAUUGGUUGCCAAGCCGCGAGGCGGAGCCAAUCCGUAAAGCAGGCCUCAGUUCAGAUUGCAGUCUGCAACUCGACUGCAUGAAGCCGGAGUUGCUAGUAACCGCAGGUCAGCAAUACUGCGGUGAAUACGUUCCCGGGUCUU